rnacentral:rRNA from 1 species
GACGAACGCUGGCGGCGUGCUUAACACAUGCAAGUCGAACGGAAAGGCCCUGCUUUUGUGGGGUGCUCGAGUGGCGAACGGGUGAGUAACACGUGAGUAACCUGCCCUUGACUUUGGGAUAACUUCAGGAAACUGGGGCUAAUACCGGAUAGGAGCUCCUGCUGCAUGGUGGGGGUUGGAAAGUUUCGGCGGGUGGGGAUGGACUCGCGGCUUAUCAGCUUGUUGGUGGGGGAGUGGCUUACCAAGGCUGUGACGGGUAGCCGGCCUGAGAGGGUGACCGGCCACAUUGGGACUGAGAUACGGCCCAGACGCCUACGGGAGGCAGCAGUGGGGAAUAUUGCACAAUGGGCGGAAGCCUGAUGCAGCAACGCCGCGUGCGGGAUGACGGCCUUCGGGUUGUAAACCGCUUUCGCCUGUGACGAAGCGUGAGUGACGGUAAUGGGUAAAGAAGCACCGGCUAACUACGUG